GAUGAACGCUGGCGGCGUGCCUAAUACAUGCAAGUCGAGCGAAGCGGGGACGGGUGAGUAACACGUGGAUAACCUCCUAUAAGACUGGGAUAACUUCGGGAAACCUUAGCUAAACCGGAAACUUAUCGAUGGAUCCGCGCUGCAUUAGCUAGUUGUGAAGGGAACGGCUUACCAAGGCAACGAUGCAUAGCCGACCUGAGAGGGUGAUCAGCCACACUGGAACUGAGACACGGUCCAGACUCCUACGGGAGGCAGCAGUGGGGAAUCUUGCACAAUGGGCGAAAGCCUGAUGCAGCAACGCCGCGUGAAUGAGGAAGGCCUUCGGAUCGUAAAACACUGUUAUUAGGGAAGCGUUACCUAAACAGGAAGCACCGGCUAACUACGUGCCAGCCGCCGCGGUAAUUC
rnacentral:rRNA from 1 species